rnacentral:rRNA from 1 species
UCUGGUGAUGAUGGCGAAGAGGUCACACCCGUUCCCAUGCCGAACACGGAAGUUAAGCUCUUCAGCGCCGAUGGUAGUCGGGGGUUUCCCCCUGU